UUCCAAUACUUGGCCGUCCCCUCACCGAACGCUACCCACCCUGCUGGGAAACGUCAGAGCGCAACAGGCCAGGAGGAUGCGGGAGUCGCAGCAGGAGCAACCGAUGCAGGCGGAGUGAAGGGAAGAAGUGACGGAGAAGAACCAGAGGAAGAGAAAUAUUGUUCGGACAAUGACCUUCUAGCAACCCACUCACAUUAUGUGUCAGAUGAUCCGCAG